UGAGGAAUAUUGCACAAUGGAGGAAACUCUGAUGCAGCCAUGCCGCGUGAGUGAAGAAGGCCUUAGGGUUGUAAAGCUCUUUCAAUCGUGAAGAUAAUGACGGUAGCGAUAGAAGAAGCCCCGGCUAAAUUCGUGCCAGCAGCCGCGGUAAUACGAAUGGGGCAAGCGUUGUUCGGAAUCACUGGGCUUAAAGCGUGCGUAGGUGGUCAGGAAAGUCAGAAGUGAAAUCCCGGGGCUCAACCCCGGAACUGCUUUUGAAACUUCCUGACUUGAAUGCAGGAGAGGUUAGCAGAAUUCCGAGUGUAGAGGUGAAAUUCGCAGAUAUUCGGAGGAAUACCAGAGGCGAAGGCGGCUAACUGGACUGGCAUUGACACUGAGGCACGAAAGCGUGGGGAUCAAACAGGAUUAGAUACCCGUGUAGUCC
rnacentral:rRNA from 1 species